rnacentral:rRNA from 1 species
AUGGUCUACUCGGCGGCAUCCGCAUACAAAGCGCAAUUUUUACCUUUGAAGGAGCCCAAGGAUAAAAUGAUAUGGAAGGCUUGGACUCCUUCAAAGGUCAAGUUCUUUGCUUGGUUGGGUCUACAAGAUAGAAUUUGGACCGCCGAUAGAUUGGCGAAGUGUGGGGGGCCCAACUGUGGUCUUUGCCUUCCCUGUAAGAGAAUGCAAGAAUGUGAGUCUCAUCUCUUUUUCAAAUGCCGCUACACGCGAAGGCUUUGGUCUUUGAUCAUUGACAAAUACCACAUUCUCGGACUUGACGCCUUCGGUUGGCCCUUGGUUGACUCAGUUGAGGCUUGGUGGACAAGUACCUGGGACAAUGACACGCCAAACCGCGAAGCUAAGGCGUCCCUAACCAUGCUUGUUUCAUGGACUAUCUGGAACGAGCGAAAGGCAAGAGUCUUCAAGCACAAGAGCGCAUCGCCGACUAUAUUGCUUGCCUCCAUCGAGACCGAGGCCAACCUUUGGGUCAUCGUCGGUGCAAAGAAAUUAGGGUCCAUUAUUUUGCGAGAGUAA